rnacentral:rRNA from 1 species
GAUGAACGCUGGCGGCGUGCCUAAUACAUGCAAGUCGAGCGAAGCGGGGACGGGUGAGUAACACGUGGAGAACCUCCUAUAAGACUGGGCUAACUUCGGGAAACCGGAGUUAAACCGGAUACUUAUAGAUGGAUCCGCGCUGCAUUACCUAGUUGGUAAGGUAACGGCCUACCAAGGCAACGAUGCAUAGCCGGCCUGAGAGGGUGAUCGGCCACAACGGAACUGGGGACCCGGCCCAGAUCCUACGGGGGGGAGCAGGAGGGGAACUUCCGAAAUUGGCGAAAGCCUGACGGAGCAACGCCGCGGUGGUGAUGGAGGGCUUCGGAUCGUAAAACUCUGUUAUUAGGGAAGCGGUACUUAACCAGAAAGGGACGGCUAACUACGUGCCAGCAGCCGCGGUAUUAC